GAUGAACGCUGGCGGCGUGCUUAACACAUGCAAGUCGAACGGGAAACCUUUUAUUGAAGCUUCGGCAGAUUUAGCUGGGUUCUAGUGGCGGACGGGUGAGUAACGCGUGGGUAACCUGCCUUAUACAGGGGGAUAACAACCAGAAAUGGUUGCUAAUACCGCAUAAGCGCACAGGACCGCAUGGUCCGGUGUGAAAAACUCCGGUGGUAUAAGAUGGACCCGCGUUGGAUUAGCUAGAUGGCAGGGUAACGGCCUACCAAGGCGACGAUCCAUAGCCGGCCUGAGAGGGUGAGCGGCCACAUUGGGACUGAGACACGGCCCAGACUCCUACGGGAGGCAGCAGUGGGGAAUAUUGCACAAUGGGGGAAACCCUGAUGCAGCGACGCCGCGUGAAGGAAGAAGUAUCUCGGUAUGUAAACUUCUAUCAGCAGGGAAGAUAGUGACGGUACCUGACUAAGAAGCCCCGGCUAACUACGUG
rnacentral:rRNA from 1 species